rnacentral:piRNA from 1 species
UCCAUAGUGAGAUCUGGUGCCCUCUU